UCGAGAAUCUUCCGCAAUGCGCGCAAGCGUGACGGAGCGACGCCGCGUGGGCGAUGAAGGCCUUCGGGUUGUAAAGCCCUGUUGCCUACUAAGAAAAGCGGGUGGUAAAUAGCUAUCCCGGUUGACGUAAGUAGGAGAGGAAGCACCGGCUAAAUACGUGCCAGCAGCCGCGGUAAUACGUAUGGUGCAAACGUUGUUCGGAAUCACUGGGCAUAAAGGGCGCGUAGGCGGUCUGGUCAGUCCGUAUGUGAAAUCCCUCGGCUCAACCGAGGAACUGCAUCGGAAACUUCCAGACUAGAGUGCAGGAGGGGAGAGCGGAAUUCCUGGUGGAGCGGUGAAAUGCGUAGAUAUCAGGAGGAACGCCGGUGGCGAAAGCGGCUCUCUGGCCUGCAACUGACGCUGAGGCGCGAAAGCUAGGGGAGCAAACGGGAUUAGAUACCCCCGUAGUCC
rnacentral:rRNA from 1 species